rnacentral:rRNA from 1 species
GCCUCAAAUCAGGUAGGACUACCCGCUGAACUUAAGCAUAUCAAUAAGCGGAGGAAAAGAAACUAACAAGGAUUCCCCUAGUAACGGCGAGUGAAGCGGGAUGAGCUCAAAUUUAAAAUCUAGCGGUCUCAGAUCGUUCGAGUUGUAGUCUAGAGAAGCGUUUUCCGUGCUGGCCUGUGUACAAGUCCGUUGGAACACGGCGUCAUAGAGGGUGAGAAUCCCGUCCUUGACACAGAUCUCCAGUGCUUUGUGAUGCGCUCUCAAAGAGUCGAGUUGUUUGGGAAUGCAGCUCAAAAUGGGUGGUAAAUUCCAUCUAAAGCUAAAUAUUGGCGAGAAACCGAUAGCGAACAAGUACCGUGAGGGAAAGAUGAAAAGCACUUUGGAAAGAGAGUUAAACAGUACGUGAAAUUGUUGAAAGGGAAACGAUUGAAGUCAGUCAUGCUUUCCGAGACUCAGCCGGUUCUGCCGGUGUACUUCUCGGUUUGCAGGCCAGCAUCAGUUUUGAACGGUGGAAAAGGUUGGAGGGAACGUGGCAUCCUCGGAUGUGUUAUAGCCCUCUUUCGCAUACAUCGUUUGGGACUGAGGAACGCAGCACGCCUUAAUUGGUCGGUCUCGGACACGUACGUGCUUAGGAUGCUGGCAUAAUGGCUUUAAACGACCCGUCUUGAA